GGAUGAACGCUGGCGGCGUGCUUAGCCCAUGCAAGUCGAACGGAAAGGCUCCUGCUUGCAGGGGUACUCGAGUGGCGAACGGGUGAGUAACACGUGGGUGAUCUGCCCUGCACUUCGGGAUAAGCCUGGGAAACUGGGUCUAAUACCGGAUAGGACGAUGGUUUGGAUGCCAUUGUGGAAAGUUUUUUCGGUGUGGGAUGAGCUCGCGGCCUAUCAGCUUGUUGGUGGGGUAAUGGCCUACCAAGGCGUCGACGGGUAGCCGGCCUGAGAGGGUGUACGGCCACAUUGGGACUGAGGUACGGCCCAGACUCCUACGGGAGGCAGCAGUGGGGAAUAUUGCACAAUGGGCGCAAGCCUGAUGCAGCGACGCCGCGUGGGGGAUGACGGCCUUCGGGUUGUAAACUCCUUUCGCUAGGGACGAAGCGCAAGUGACGGUACCUGGAGAAGAAGCACCGGCUAACUACGUG
rnacentral:rRNA from 1 species